rnacentral:rRNA from 1 species
GAGUUUGAUCGUGGCUCAGGACGAACGCUAGCGGCAGGCUUAACACAUGCAGGUCGAGGGGCAGCGCGGGUAGCAAUACCUGGCGGCGACCGGCAAACGGGUGCGGAACACGUACGCAAUCUACCUCCGUCUGGGGCAUAGCCCAGUGAAAACUGGAUUAACUCCCCAUAGAAUAACAGAGUGGCAUCACUCAAUUAUUAAAAUUUAUUGGACAGAGAUGAGCGUGCGUCCCAUUAGCUAGUUGGUAGGGUAACGGCCUACCAAGGCAACGAUGGGUAGCCGGUGUGAGAGCACGACCAGCCACACGGGCACUGAGACACGGGCCCGACUCCUACGGGAGGCAGCAGUGAGGAAUAUUGGGCAAUGGACGAAAGUCUGACCCAGCCAUGCCGCGUGAAGGAUGAAGGCGUUCUGCGUUGUAAACUUCUUUUAUCUGGGAAGAAAGUACGGUUUCUACUGUAUCCGACGGUACCAGAGGAAUAAGCACCGGCUAACUCCGUGCCAGCAG